rnacentral:rRNA from 1 species
GACGAACGCUGGCGGCGUGCUUAACACAUGCAAGUCGAACGGAAAGGCCCUGCUUUUGUGGGGUGCUCGAGUGGCGAACGGGUGAGUAACACGUGAGUAACCUGCCCUUGACUUUGGGAUAACUUCAGGAAACUGGGGCUAAUACCGGAUAGGAGCUCCUGCUGCAUGGUGGGGGUUGGAAAGUUUCGGCGGUUGGGGAUGGACUCGCGGCUUAUCAGCUUGUUGGUGGGGUAGUGGCUUACCAAGGCUUUGACGGGUAGCCGGCCUGAGAGGGUGACCGGCCACAUUGGGACUGGGAUACGGCCCAGACUCCUACGGGAGGCAGCAGUGGGGAAUAUUGCGCAAUGGGCGGAAGCCUGAUGCAGCAACGCCGCGUGCGGGAUGACGGCCUUCGGGUUGUAAACCGCUUUCGCCUGUGACGAAGCGUGAGUGACGGUAAUGUGUAAAGAAGCACCGGCUAACUACGUG